GAGAGAUCAGGGCAGGGCGGCAGGAGCCUGGCAGCCAGCCGGCAGGUGUGCAGUUUGAUUCGAGAAGAAGGGAACCAUGGCUCAUCCCCCGAGGCUCACCAGACCCUCCAGCCGCUGUCCUCAGUUAGGUCACUGGGGAAUCUCCUGCCUCCUUGGUCCCCAGCUUCAGUGAUACCCAUUGGUAAAAGCUGUUGCAAUCAAGGGACCCCCUAGGCUGUGGCCAAAGCCAGUGCUUGGGGCUGGACUGGCAGCGCUGAUGUAACUGCUAACCCCUGAGUCCUGGUUGGCGGCUCCAUAAAGCUCUGCCAUCGGCCCAGGGCUGGUGGUGCCCAGAAAUCCACCGGUGCGACUGGGGGUGGAACCUGUCCCUCGCACCACAGCUGCCGCAGCUGCUGCUGCUGCCAUUGGUCCAUACGCAGUGAGGGGAAUUGCUGUGAGCUCAGGGAGGACGGGGGCACUCGGGAGAGGGGUCCGCUCUACACGGAACUCAGGGAACUGGUAAGUGUAACCAGGUGCAAUGCCAGUGUAACUUCGACUCGCGUAGGUGGCAGCUUGGAAGCCUGGAUAACCCAGCAUGCCGAUCCCGAGCAUGAAGGCAUCCAUCCCGUAAGGCAUGACUCGGGACCGCCCUCGUGCUGAGCCUGUUGGGGACAUCACCUCCUUGGGCUGGGCUUUUUUGCACUCCACCAUUUUGUUGUUAAUCUCAUGGAAGUGGAUUUCACAUACUUUUUCCACAAUGUCUUCACUUUCAAAUGUGACAAAUCCAAACCCUCGGUGUCGGUUGGUUGUCUUGUCAAACAUCAGCAUCGCAUCAUCCACCUUCCCAAACUGCUCGAAAUACUGUUUCACAUCCUCCACAGUAGUGUUCACUGACAGACCACCCACAAAUAUCUUCUUCGUUCGGGUCACCAUCUUGGGCUGUGCUCGGCGGGGGAACGCUACCUUCGGGUCAAUCGUCUUGGAGUCCAGUUCAUGUCUGGAUUGGGCCAGAACCUUGUCGACGCCAGCCUGGUCCAUGAACGUGACGAACCCGAAGCCCCUGGAUCUCUUUGUCAGCGGGUCCCGCAUCACCAGGCACUCUUUCACCUCGCCGAACUGGCUGAAGUACUCCCGCAGGCCCUCUUGCGUGGUCUGCCAGCUCAGUCCCCCGAUGAACAUUUUGCAGGGGUCGUGCGGGGAGUCCGGGGAGGCGAGGCCGGGCUGGCUGCCGUCUGUCUCCAUUCGGACCUCUUCUCCCUGCGAGGAGCGGCGCCGCACUCCCGGGGCAGAUGAGCGCUGGAAAAGGGGCCGGACGGACAGGCCAUGCUGCCCCCUCCCCCGACCCCUCUCCGCCGGGCGGGGAGGGAGCGAGGGAGGAGGGCCCGGCGGGCACAACCUGCCCGGCUCCUCCCACCCCCGCCGGCCCGCCGGCCGCCGUGCGCAUAAAACCCGCCGGUGGCGCCGGGCCGCGCUGGGACCGAACGCCGGGAGCCGCGCCCGGACCGCGCCGGAGGAGAACGGAGGCGGCGGGAACGGAACGGAACGGCGGCAGCGGCCCGGGGCCCCGCGGGCGCUUUGUCCUCGGCCGCGCCGCUCCGCACCUGCGCUGGCGGACAAAAGGCCGCGGGCUCUGCCCCACCGCGGCGGCCUCGGCCGGGCCGCGCUGCGCCGGGUCCUGCGGGUGCCCCGGGGCGAGGCCCGGCUCGGGCCGCUCGAGUUCGCCGCGGCGGCUCCGGAGCUCCCGGCGGCGGAGGAGGCACCGGCAGCGGGCGGGUUAAAGCCGGCGGGCUGAAGGCCCGGCCCGGCCCCCGGGGCUGCCCUGCCCGCCCGGAGCGCUCCCGAGGCCACGGCCCCCGCCGAGCGGAGGCUGCCGGUGGGCUCGGGCUCCCAGCGGGGCCGCGGGCGGGGAGGGGAGAGCUCGCACCCGGGGCUGCUGCCCGGAGCUCGGCGCUGCCCGCCCGGACGGCUCCUCCGGCGGAGCCCCGCACCGCGGCCGGACGGCCCUGCUUGCGGCACCGGAGCAGCGGUUCGGCGCGGCCCGGCCUGAGCCCCAACCCGCGGACGGAGCGGGGCGGCCCCGCCGCUCAGCAGCUCCUCGCUCGUACAAAUCAACAGAGCUGUGCCAAGCUCCGGCGUCUCGCUGCCCUCCCGCAAGUUCAGCCGUGUGCUGCGGGCCCCGCGCUCUGCUCAGCGCUCGGGCAAGCUGGCAUGGAGGAGCCCGGUGAGGAACAAGUGAAAUGUUGGGUGUCAGAUGAGAACUGGAGCCUCUCUGCCCUGCCUGCACAGCGCGUCGCCCUGAGAAAGGGCACUUGUUAGCAUUGGUGACACAUCAGAACGCAGCAGCACACAAAGCCUCUCUCAGGACAGGGGCACUGCAGGCUGACAGGCUGUUCCUGCUCUGUGCCACAGCGCUGCCAAACGUUCCCCUGCCCAUCUCCACACCUCAUCAGAGCCUUCCCCACAGAGCGAGGUGCCAAACGGCUGCAGGUCAGCACCAGCCUCACCUGACCAUUCUUUAAUGACUGGUUUUCCCCGUGCCAAUACUCCUCACCUCCCUCCUGGAGAUGAACCAGGACACCUCUGUUUUAAUAGCACCCCAUAACGGUAUUUUUCAUUACCUAGGCUCAUCCCAAAGGCUGUGGCUGCAACCGGGAGCUGAAUUCAUCCACCCGCUAGCUCUGCCAAGCCACCAUUCACCCCUUCCAUUUCCUGAGCUGAAGUCAGAGGCACUAUCUCAUCUCCUGGCCCCACACCUGGCACAGAGAGAGCUCACAACCAGACGCUCAGUGGCCACCCCGGGGACCGAGCUGUACCUCAGCCACGGUUGCAGCAUCGCAGUCACCUCCCCUUGCACACCCUGGGAGUUCUGGGCUGUCAGAAACCCACUGCUCUCCUGCCACGCUGCCCAAACUCACUGCUGCUGCGCUGCCUCCUGGCACCUGCUCCGAGUUGGAUGGCAAAUACUCCAAGUGGGGAACUAAUGUUUUGCAUGUCACCUGGCACGGGCUUCCAUGCUCCAUUGACUGCCCAACUUAGGCAGAAGAGCAAUGCUAAUUAAACUCCAGAAAGGAGAAAAGAAACAAGAGAUCAGUGCUGGGCACACAAAAGGACAACAUCCUUUGGUUUACUCCCAGCAGACUGUUAUAAUUUUAAGUGUAUUAUACACAACAGAUAAUGCAGAGCACUCAGAGGCAGCAUUAAAACACUUCACUAUAUAUAUAUAUUCUGCAUUAGGCUUAUUAUUUUUUUUCUCUUCUUUUCCACCAAGAUAAUAAUGGAGAAGAGAGAAGAGGAUCAAAGCGAGCCACCAUCUGUGAACAUAAGAGGAAAAAGAGCAAUCUUCAGGAGGGGCUGGAUGGAGGAUGUGGUUGGAGCUGCAUCCCUGGCAGUGACAGCACACUGUACCACGUAACUUAUUCCAAGGCCCUUUCCAAAACACAGUCAUAUGUUGCGUUUCCACCUCUGGACCCCAAAGCCCUUUGGAAGUAUCAAUGCAUUUAUCUCUAUAACACACAAGCCUGAAAAAAUCUGUUGAUUAGUGACAGUAGGAAGCUUUCCUCACAGAGAAGUAAAUAUAUAAAACAUUCCAGACCUUAUGAUUGGAAAGAUGAUCUCCAAAUAUAAAAUAAUGCAGCAUUGUACUCCUGGGGCUGCAGACAGACAGCUGUAGUGCCUCUGUGGCUGCUGCUGAGAGGUUGCCAAACACCAGCGAGAUUAACAAAACUGCUCAGUUUUCUUGCUGCUAUUCAGCAUCUCGUGUGUGGUAGAGUGACACUAUCAAAAUCAUGUCCACUUCCUGCUGGGGUCGAUGAUUGGCAAAGUGCUGCCCAGCACCAGAGGCAGACACUGGAGUUAUUCAUGGGGAGAGGGAGGUUCCCAGAAGUGGAGGUUAGGGGAGGGGCAGGGCGGCAGGGCCUCCUUUGCUCUGCCAUCAUACGAGAGUGACAGAGAGACCAAGUCCUGGAGGCUUGGCUGUCCUGGAGGCUCAGCUGUGUCCCGGAGCCGGGAGGUUCUGGCCAGCGGGUACUCAGAGUUGUUUUGUUUUUCGUUCCAUUCGGACAGUUAAUAAACAAACUUGAACUGGAAUCCAAAUCACUCUUCUCCUAUUCAUGUUCCGACGCUGAACAAGCAAACCUGGAAGAUAUUAAGUGCAGCUCCAGGCAGCCCGGGGGCAAUGCCAGGCUCUGGAAGCAGCUUCUGGUCACGCUCCUGUGUGCUGGGGAAGUGAUGCUGACCCCCUGCAAGGCCAAGGGUAGAACUGCCCCACGCACUGCCACUGCGGCCACCUCUAAGGGAAUGGUUCGGCCGCUGUCUGCCUCGAGGGCACUGGGCUGGGGAGGCAGCAGGCACAGCCAGGGAGAACAGCUACUGAAAUUGAAGUGCUGAGGCUUUGCUCUGGUUGUGGGCAGGACAACAC
rnacentral:lncRNA from 1 species